AGAACGAACGCUGGCGGCAGGCUUAACACAUGCAAGUCGAGCGCCCCGCAAGGGGAGCGGCAGACGGGUGAGUAACGCGUGGGAACAUACCCUCCGGUUCGGAAUAGCUCAGGGAAACUUGGAUUAAUACCGGAUACGGCCUAGCGGCGAAAGAUUCAUCGCCGGAGGAUUGGCCCGCGUUCGAUUAGCUAGUUGGUGAGGUAACGGCUCACCAAGGCGACGAUCGAUAGCUGGUCUGAGAGGAUGAUCAGCCACAUUGGGACUGAGACACGGCCCAAACUCCUACGGGAGGCAGCAGUGGGGAAUAUUGGACAAUGGGCGCAAGCCUGAUCCAGCCAUGCCGCGUGAGUGAUGACGGCCUUAGGGUUGUAAAACUCUUUCGACGGGACGAUAAUGACGGUACCCGUAGAAGAAGCUCCGGCUAACUUCGUGCCAGCAGCCGC
rnacentral:rRNA from 1 species